UGAUUGCUCCCUCGUGUGACACUUCUAAAUAGAUGCCUUAUGGAAAAGGAUUCCCACCUCGUGACCAGCUGCGGUGAUGAAACCCUCCUGGGACACUCAGGGCAGACCGGGAUGCUUUCAGCAAGAAGCAAUGCUCAUCUGUUGUGCUCACGUGUGAGUGGUGAAGGCCACACUAAUGCCGUGCCAGCCUGGUAGGAUGCGAAACAAAAUGUGUCAGGGUUGGUCCCUUCAGGGGAGCACCCCUG
rnacentral:lncRNA from 1 species